rnacentral:lncRNA from 1 species
AUUUACUACUUUGCUUCUUAUUCAUGUUCUUCGGCUCGCUUGCAUUCUUCAGUGAUUAAAGAGAGAGAGAGCGAGAGUGUGAACAGGUGUGGAAGCAAGGAGUGAAUUCCUUGGUGGAAGUGAGCUGUGAGUGGGAGUGGCUGAAGUGACAAGAGUCGCAAAAGAGGAUUAAUUGACCGAGAGAGCAGUUGGGGGAGUGGUAGAGAGAGUUACGUAAGUUGGAAGAAUAAUGGAAAGCCGAAGAACUUGAAUUUGGAAUCGGAGUACACAAUAAUUAAGUUCCGUUUUAUAUACUUACAUUAUAGGCGGAUUAAUUUCGCGCAUUACACCAAAAGUGAUAGGGUCGACUUGGAGAAAGGCUUUUUUCGCCAUGCGGUGUUUGACCCAGAAAGGGGAUAAAAAGGGAGUGUUUAGUUGACAAGGGGCAGUUUUUCGUUUCCGAUUUGUUUUGCCGCCGUAGGCCAUGUCGGUUUGAUUUUUGUCUGUCGUCGGUCGUCCAGCCCAGAGAUGCGACAUUUAUUAUUAUCCAGCAUGUAAUUUGACUUUGAUUUAGAAUAAAACCUGAUACACAACUUAACUUCAUCGAACUUGUCAUUCUUUGACUCCCGUCCUUUUUUUGUACGUGGGCAGCGCAAGACGGUGGGCGGCCACCGGCCGUCUUGCAAAGCUGUGCCGCUACAAAAUUGGUAGUACGGAUGGGGUCGACCGUCAUCUUCAGCAUGUUCGGGGAACGUUUUAGUCCUUCAGUCUGGUUUUACGCAUAAACACAAUGUUUAUCGGACAUUGAGAUAAAUUCAACAAGGAGAGCUUCACUUCAUGUCACCGGUUCCGGCUUAUUUUUUGUUCGAGGAUGUGAAUUGAUAUUAUUUUAACUUUAACGUUGGAGAGAGAAAUUCAGCUGCAGGGGUUGGAUUGAGCCCCCACAUCGCCCGGGUUUUCGACGUUGGGACCUUACAUGUGCCGUUGAGCUCAGGAGAAAGAACCCUUCGUCCUGGGACUCACGCGUGGCUGCAUUGUAGCGAGGAGUCGAGGGACCUGUGAAAACCACUGCAAAUAGACCUGACGGGGUAGCAUAGCUGGUUUCCACUAAAACCCUCCGGAUUAGUUGGUACCGACGAAGUCUGGUGAUUUCACAUUACACUGCGGUGAGAGGAGUCGUUUAACUGCGCGAGAAUCGUCUUGGAAGGGGCUGUAAAGGAACUCAGCAGGGCGAUUGCUUUUCCUUUGGUCGUCUCAUGAGGAUGGAUUGAGGUUAGGAACUGGAGGCCGCAGGCGCUAGUCCGGCUCGGGGAGUUGGACGCUAUCGAGGAGCUCCGAGACAUCGUUCUUCCAACCAACGCUUCGUCACGGCCCUUCAUCUUCGUCAUCGACGUGGUGUGGUAGACCCUGUCUUCGAUAUCUUCGACGGUGGAAGCUGGCACUGUCGUUUGGAAGCCGAUAGCCUUGGCGAGUGAAGCAGCAGGAGUCGCUGGAAAACUACAUAUCAGACGGCAGGAUGGUGUCAAACGGAACUGGAGGAGGCAUGGGAUAUCCACCUCUGAUGGUAGUUUUGAUAUCAUCCCAAAGUCUUGGUAAAUGGUAGAAAACAAGUAAUGUUUGGGUUAUUUUUUUUGUCCAUGUAAAAGGACUUCUAAAAUCUGAAUGAAUGAAAGAAAGGAUUUUAUAAAAACAAUUGUUUAUCUUUUUAAUGUGGAGGUUUACCCUAGAGGUGCACUAUGUCAUCUGUUUGGAAGCAAAGGAUGAAUUGUACAUAAAAAAAAACACUGUAAAGUAAUGAUUCUGAAAGUAUAACACAAAAUAAUAGUAACUUUCAGAAUAAGCGUCAUUAUUUGUAACCAUAGCAGAGCGAGGUCUAACAUGUGCAUGCAUGCUGUCCAAUAUCAAAAUAUUUACUGUUUACUGUCUAUGAUACAUGUUCAUGGUUGAUAUAUAAUGCCUGAAGUUGAUUGUUCAUGGUUUACAAUUACAACCCAUCCAUUGAUUAAUGUUCAAUUGAUUAAUAAACACUUUUACUAGGGCAUUAUACAAGUAUGCUGAUGCAAAAGAUUUUUUUAGUAUCAUUUUGGACAUGAAACAUGCACUUGUUAACUAAGGUUAUUUAUAGUUUUUUUUUAUAUAUAUAAGAUGACCAGAUUUACUGCUGUUGGUUUUCAUUUUGUAAGGUGGAUACAGAUACGGAUAUGGAUAAUUUUACUUUUCACAUGUAUCAUUGCUAUUAUUACUACUGUACAUGUAAGUUUAUGUACCUGUAGUAUUUUUGACAUAACUAGUUGUGCAUAAGAGGUAUAAUGAAGGUUUAAUAGAUGUUUAGAGGUUGAAUUUGUAACUAAACCUUUCAAUUCAUUUUUUUGGGGGUCUGGAAAGUUCAUCUUUGAAGGGGUGAUGUCAUCGAUGAAGCAGCAGGAAGCUUGGGUCAUCCACUUCCCAAUGCCUAUACGUUGACAUUCCCCUGAUGGAAGCUCUCCAAAUCCUAUUUUUAAUUGAAGAAGGUACAGGUACAAUGUAUAUACAUGCAAUCUAUUUACCAAAAAAGGGGAAGAUUUUGAAAUAACAAUAUUUGGCAUGAAUAUAGAACGAUGUUGAAAUGUUUAUAUUGUUUAUGACAAAUUGUAAGUGUCAUGGAUGGACGACCGUCAGUAUCAAAUCUUUUUUUCCUUAUUUUUUGCGAUCUUAUGGAACAGAUCGAUUCAGUAGGGGAGAGUUAUAGCGGGAUGGAAAAUAGAGAUUUGUUUGUUUGGGUAAAGAAGUUCGUUCGCCUUCUUCCAUUGUUUACAUUCCUUAAAGGUGUUGAUUUCGUUUGCUAGUUUUUCUGGGCCAGGCUAGCGAUUGGAAUGUGGAAGUGAAAGAGGGCAAACUGACUGGGUUGCUAGGCGUUCAGGACUAAUAGAAAGUCCAUUGGAACUUCAGUUAUUUACUACUUUGCUUCAUAUUCAUGUUCUUCGGCUCGCUUGCAUUCUUCAGUGAUUAAAGAGAGAGAGAGAGCGAGAGUGUGAACAGGUGUGGAAGCAAGGAGUGAAUUCCUUGGUGGAAGUGAGCUGUGAGUGGGAGUGGCUGAAGUGACAAGAGUCGCAAAAGAGGAUUAAUUGACCGAGAGAGCAGUUGGGGGAGUGGUAGAGAGAGUUACGUAAGUUGGAAGAAUAAUGGAAAGCCGAAGAACUUGAAUUUGGAAUCGGAGUACACAAUAAUUAAGUUCCGUUUUAUAUACUUACAUUAUAGGCGGAUUAAUUUCGCGCAUUACACCAAAAGUGAUAGGGUCGACUUGGGGAAAGGCUUUUUUCGCCACGCGGUGUUUGACCCAGAAAGGGGAUAAAAAGGGAGUGUUUAGUUGACAAGGGGCAGUUUUUCGUUCCCGAUUUGUUUUGCCGCCGUAGGCCAUGUCGGUUUGAUUUUUGUCUGUCGUCGGUCGUCCAGCCCAGAGAUGCGACAUUUAUUAUUAUCCAGCAUGUAAUUUGACUUUGAUUUAGAAUAAAACCUGAUACACAA